rnacentral:lncRNA from 1 species
CACACGGCGGCAGCGCGCUGAGCAUGGCGGGUUUUUGUUGUUUGCUUCGGCCUCGUAAAGCGAUUCGAUAAGUGAUUGCUGGGGACACUGGAGGGCACUGAAGUUUAUAGAAAGAGGAACGCCAUAAUGAAGCUUUAUUGGGAUGGCAUCACCAAACAAUUGCUGUGAUAGCAACACUCCUGAGCCUGGAAAAAUGCCAAACAUUCCCCCUGGAACUGACUCAGGCAGUAGCCUCUCUGGCUCAGGACUAAGGCAGAAAAUGGAUGCUUUCUGGUUCAUAAAAUGGCCUCUUUCCAGCUUGGAAAUGACUGAGGAACUGUCCAGUUGAUUUGGAAAGCGCUCGGGAAAUGGCCUUUCUCCAUCAGCAACUUCAGAACUCAUCUGUUCUGCUUUGGAUUAUGGCUUGGAACUACAAGAGUGGUUUUUUCUUCUUUUUACUUCUUUUUGUUUCCUUCCAAGUUGACUGGGACUACUCAGAAAAGUUUGUGGAUUUUUUUUUUUCCUAUGAAAAACACAAAACAACGACAACCAAAAAAAUAACUCUACCCAAUAGCAGAGGUUGUAGAGGACUUCUGUAGGAAUUUAAGCAGAAAAGAUUAUUUCCCAUCUCAAAGAUCAAACCCGGUUGAGAGAGUAUCUAAAAAAUCAUUCCCCCCUCUGCUGCUGGAUAGGAAUAGUGUCCCACCCCCAUGUCUGCACAUGGGGCUGCUUUUCCACCCCCACCCCUCAGCAGAUGAACCUGGGGGACAAAUCAUUGGGUAUCUAUCUAUACCUCACGCAGAAACAAUAGCAUCAAAGAACAGUAGUAACAAUCCAAGCUUAAUCACUUCCAAACUUAAGAAAAAAAAAAAUCAUCGUAGUUGAAUGGAAGUGACAAAUUCUUGACUCAAGCAUCCCAACACUACAGUGAGUUGUGAACCCAAACUGGGCCCUGCACACCAUCCACAGGAUCAGCUGCUGCAUCAGUUACGAGCCAGUGGUGCAGGAAGGUGCUCCGCACCACCUCAUGCAGAUUCCCAACUUUUUUCUUCCCUGUUGUAAUUCUGCCUUAGAUUCAGUGCUGUGCUCCCUGCAUAUGACAGCCGUGUUUCUCUCAGUUACGACCGUUGGACAAUUAAUGUUACUUUGAGGGUCACUUAACAGCAUCAUCUGUGUGGGGAAAAAUGUAAUCCCAGAUUAGUGCAUAGAUGGCUUCUAGAUCUACACCAAGGAAAAGGGACAUUAUUUUGCCAGAACUAAAUGGAAAUGCUUAAUUUUACAUGAUGUUGUCAUUUGUCCUCUGCAAUUCCAGUUCAUUGGGACCUCAGAUUAGAAAAUUAUUUUG